ACCAGGGUAGCAGAGUGGUUUCUGCAUCUGUCUAGCGAGCAGGAGACCUGGGUUCAAAUCCCAGCCUUGGUA